GACGAACGCUGGCGGCGUGCUUAACACAUGCAAGUCGAACGGAAAGGCCCUGCUUUUGUGGGGUGCUCGAGUGGCGAACGGGUGAGUAACACGUGAGUAACCUGCCCUUGACUUUGGGAUAACUUCAGGAAACUUGGGCUAAUACCGGAUAGGAGCUCCUGCUGCAUGGUGGGGGUUGGAAAGUUUCGGCGGUUGGGGAUGGACUCGCGGCUUAUCAGCUUGUUGGUGGGGUAGUGGCUUACCAAGGCUUUGACGGGUAGCCGGCCUGGGAGGGUGACCGGCCACAUUGGGACUGAGAUACGGCCCAGACUCCUACGGGAGGCAGCAGUGGGGAAUAUUGCACAAUGGGCGGAAGCCUGAUGCAGCAACGCCGCGUGCGGGAUGACGGCCUUCGGGUUGUAAACCGCUUUCGCCUGUGACGAAGCGUGAGUGACGGUAAUGGGUAAAGAAGCACCGGCUAACUACGUG
rnacentral:rRNA from 1 species